UACGUAGGGUGCAAGCGUUUGUCCGGAAUUAUUGGGCGUAAAGAGCUCGUAGGUGGCCUGUCGCGUCUGCUGUGAAAACCUAGGGCUUAACUCUGGGCGUGCAGUGGGUACGGGCAGGCUAGAGUGCGGUAGGGGAGACUGGAAUUCCUGGUGUAGCGGUGAAAUGCGCAGAUAUCAGGAGGAACACCGGUGGCGAAGGCGGGUCUCUGGGCCGUAACUGACGCUGAGGAGCGAAAGCAUGGGGAGCGAACAGG
rnacentral:rRNA from 1 species